rnacentral:rRNA from 1 species
AAGUUCGAGCGAGAAUUGAUUUGAGUUUACUUAAUUAAUGGGCAGCGGCGGACGAGCGAGUAACACGUAAGUAGCUACCCUGUACUCAGGGAUAACGGUCUGAAAGGAUCGCUAAUACCGGAUGGUCUCGUAAGAGUAAAGAUUUAUCGGUACAGGCAGUGCUUGCGGCUUAUCAGUUUGUUGGUAGUGUAAGAGACUACCAAGGCUAUGACGAGUAGCUGGUGUGAGAGCAUGACCAGCCGCGAUGGGACUGAGACACGGCCCAUACUCCUACGGGAGGCAGCAGUAAGGAAUCUUCCGCAAUGGGCGAAAGCCUGACGGAGCGACACCGCGUGAUGGAUGAAGGCCCAUGGGUCGUAAACAUCUUUUCUCUGGGAAGAAGAUCUGACGGUACCAGAGGAAUAAGGACCGGCUAAUUACGUGCCAGCAGCCGCGGUAAUACGUAAGGUCCAAGCGUUAUCCGGAAUCAUUGGGCGUAAAGCGUCCGCAGGUGGUUUGGAAAGUCAGUUAUUAAAUACCGGUGCUCAACAUCGGUGCUGUAAUUGAAACUUCUAAACUAGAGGAUGGUAGAGGUAUGUGGAAUUCUACAAGUAGGGGUAAAAUCCGUAGAUAUGUAGAGGAACAUCAAAAGCGAAGGCAGCAUACUGGACCAAUCCUGACACUCAGGGACGAAAGCGUGGGGAGCAAAACGGAUUAGAUACCCGUGUAGUCCACGCCGUAAACGAUGUUAGCUCGGUGUAGGGAACUCGAUCUUUUCCUCUGUGCCCAAGGUAACCCGUUAAGCUAGCCCGCCUGUGUAGUACGAUCGCACGAUUAAAACACAAAGGAAUAGACGAGGGACCCCACACAGGCGCACGGAACAUGGGGUUUAAUUUCGUCAAUAAGCGAGGUAACCUCACCUAGACUUGACAUCCUUAUUCGUACCUUUUUAAAAAAUAAUUUGGGGUCCGUUCCGCUCUGUAAUAAUGACAAGGCGAUCGCAC